rnacentral:rRNA from 1 species
GACGUAGGGGGCAAGCGUUGUCCGGAAUCAUUGGGCGUAAAGCGCGUGUAGGCGGUCCGGUAAGUCCGCUGUGAAAGUCGGGGGCUCAACCCUCGGAUGCCGGUGGAUACUGUCGGGCUUGAGUACGGAAGAGGCGAGUGGAAUUCCUGGUGUAGCGGUGAAAUGCGCAGAUAUCAGGAGGAACACCAAUUGCGAAGGCAGCUCGCUGGGACGUUACUGACGCUGAGACGCGAAAGCGUGGGGAGCAAACAGG